GCUAAUACCCGAUGUGCCUUAGGGUGAAAGAUUAAUUGCCUGUAGAUGAGCUUGCGUCAGAUUAGCUAGUUGGUGGUGUAAGGGACCACCAAGGCGAUGAUCUGUAGCUGGUCUGAGAGGAUGAUCAGCCACACUGGGACUGAGACACGGCCCAGACUCCUACGGGAGGCAGCAGUGGGGAAUUUUCCGCAAUGGGCGAAAGCCUGACGGAGCAAGACCGCGUGGGGGACGAAGGUUUGUGGAUUGUAAACCCCUUUUGAUAGGGAAGAUGAUGACGGUACCUAUCGAAUCAGCAUCGGCUAACUCCGUGCCAGCAGCCGCGGUAAUACGGAGGAUGCAAGCGUUAUCCGGAAUUAUUGGGCGUAAAGCGUCCGCAGGUGGUUGGUCAAGUCUGUUGUUAAAGAGCGGAGCUAAACUUCGUAAGGGCGAUAGAAACUGACUGACUAGAGUUUGGUAGGGGUAGAGGGAAUUCCCAGUGUAGCGGUGAAAUGCGUAGAUAUUGGGAAGAACACCGGUGGCGAAAGCGCUCUACUGGGCCUGAACUGACACUGAGGGACGAGAGCUAGGGGAGCGAAUGGGAUUAGAUACCCCAGUAGUCACGCG
rnacentral:rRNA from 1 species